rnacentral:rRNA from 1 species
CACGUAGGGUGCGAGCGUUGUCCGGAAUUAUUGGGCGUAAAGAGCUCGUAGGCGGUGUGUCGCGUCGGCCGUGAAAACUCGCAGCUUAACUGUGGGCUUGCGGUCGAUACGGGCAUCACUGGAGUUCGGCAGGGGAGACUGGAAUUCCUGGUGUAGCGGUGAAAUGCGCAGAUAUCAGGAGGAACACCGGUGGCGAAGGCGGGUCUCUGGGCCGAUACUGACGCUGAGGAGCGAAAGCGUGGGGAGCGAACAGG